GCCUCUGUGGCCCAAUGGAUAAGUUACCGGCCUCCUAAGCCGGGGAUUGCGGGUUCGAGUCCAGUCAGAGGUA
rnacentral:tRNA from 1 species